UACAGAGGGUGCGAGCGUUGUCCGGAAUCACUGGGCGUAAAGGGCGCGUAGGCGGUGACUUAAGCGUGUGGUGAAAGCUCGGGGCUCAACCCCGAGUCGGCCGUGCGAACUGGGUCACUGGAGCAGAUCAGAGGCAGGCGGAAUUCCGGGUGUAGCGGUGGAAUGCGUAGAGAUCCGGAAGAACACCGGUGGCGAAGGCGGCCUGCUGGGAUCUUCUGACGCUGAGGCGCGACAGCGGUGGGGAGCAAACAGG
rnacentral:rRNA from 1 species